ACAAACUUAGCUCAAUGGCAGAGCGUCAGCCUUCCAAGCUGAAAGUUGCGGGUUCGAUUCCCGUAGUUGAUUGCA
rnacentral:tRNA from 1 species